rnacentral:sRNA from 1 species
UCUCUCUUGUCUUUGUAGUAGUCAAAAUUCACCUAGAUACAUUCUUAGUUACUUUCUUAGAUCUAGGUGUUUGGUGGUCUUGAAAAUGAACUGGUGUAUUCAAGUGUUUCAGAAAUGAUAGUUAGUCCUACAGUGUUAUGGAUAUGCCUUCAGGCAUUGCUGAUCCUUUUCUUGCUUCUUCUUCUUGGAUCCAUUUGUUCCAUUCACGUGAGAGCCCAAAGAAGUCAAGCUACAAAAGUCGUGGCCUUGCAGAAAGGAUAACGGGUAAAGCUUAAUGCUGGAUGAGAUUGUAAACCAUGUGCAGUCAUUGCAAUGCUUUAACGUCUAUGAUAUGUAAGUGAAGUUAUAGUCUUACAAAUAGCAGCUUUUCUAUAUUUCGACCAAAUGUAAGUGAAGUUCUUAACAGAUUAAGCUUUUUAGC